CAGAGUGAUUCAAUACAGUGGCAGUGGAACCUGACUGUGCUGAAAAUGAAGUGGCCAAAGCUCUAGCAGUGGUUUCUGGAA
rfam:Ipomoea nil DNA, scaffold: scaffold0656, cultivar: Tokyo-kokei standard.